GUGAGGUAACGGGUCAGCAAGGCAGUGACGGGUAACUGGUUUGAGAGGAUGAUCAGUCACACUGGAACUGAGACACGGUCCAGACGCCUACGGGUGGAAGGAGUCGAGAAUCAUUCGCUAUGGGGGAAACCCUGACGAUCCGACGCCGCGUGGAGGAUGACAGCCCUCGGGUUGUAAACUCCUGUCAUCAUGGAGCAAAUCCCUCUUUCGCGGGACUGAUAUUACCUCGAGAGGACUGAACGGCCAAUUCUGUGCCAGCAGCCAUGGUAAUACAGACGUUCCAAGCGUUGUUCGGAUUCAUUGGGCGUGUACGUUGCGUAGGCGGCUUGUUAAGUCAAAUGUGAAAUUGCUGGGCUCAUCCCCGUACUGUAUUCGAUACUGCCAUGCUAAAGGACUGGAGAAGAGACUGGAAUUCACUGUGUAUCAGUUAAAUGCGUAUAGAUCGUGAGGACGACCAGUGGCGAAAGCGACUCUCUGGACAGUUCCUGACGCUGAGGCACGAAGGGCACGGUAGCGAACGGGAUUAGAU
rnacentral:rRNA from 1 species